rnacentral:rRNA from 1 species
GACGAACGCUGGCGGCGUGCUUAACACAUGCAAGUCGAACGGAAAGGCCCUGCUGUUGUGGGGUGCUCGAGUGGCGAACGGGUGAGUAACACGUGAGUAACCUGCCCUUGACUUUGGGAUAACUUCAGGAAACUGGGGCUAAUACCGGAUAGGAGCUCCUGCUGCAUGGUGGGGGUUGGAUAGGUUCGGCGGUUGGGGAUGGACUCGCGGCUUAUCAGCUUGUUGGUGGGGAAGUGGCUUACCAGGGCUUUGACGGGUGGCCGGCCGGAGGGGUGGACCGGCAACAUGGGGAUGGGGUAAGGGCCCGGCCCCCUCCGGGAGGAAGAGGGGGGGAUAAUUGCAAAAGGGGCGGAAGCCGGAGGAAGCACGGCGGGGGGGGGGUUGCCGGCCUCCGGUUGUAAACCGGUUUCCGCCGGGGACGAAGCGUGAGUGACGGUAACGGGAAAAGAAGCACCGGCUAACUACGUG